rnacentral:lncRNA from 1 species
AAGCCUAGAGUGUUCUUGCUCCUUCUGCAAAGUUGAUGUAGGGGUGGAAGGCAUGGUAGAAAGAGCUAUUGCCUUGUUUCGGGUUGUGAUGCCCAAAGUGCCACCACUUGCAGCAAGGAUGUUCUUGUUCUUCGCGUUGAUUGCAGGAACAGCUUGUUCGAAAUGUGCCCUAAAGCCAAUCAUAUAAUGAUACUUUACGGACAUUUCACAUGUUAAACUAAUCUAGUUCAAUAUAAAAGGAAAAGAUUAUUGUUUACAGUCGCCUCAUAUAAAUGUUAUAUGCUUAAACAAUAAGUCCAAGGAAUAUGUAAUUGGAAGAAUGUGAUAUAAAGAAGCUAGAUUCAUGAGGCCAUUCUCUUUCGUAUACAUAUCCUAAACGUUCCUAAUCAUAAGAUUGCCAAUUGGGCAUUGACA